AUGGCUUUGAAACUGUUGAUAAAUUUCCUCAUUGUCUUCCCAGCAUGCACUACUUCAGAAAUUACAAUUAGUCAAUCUGCUGCUCAAGUGAAAAGACCAGGAGAAAGGAUGAGGUUCACCUGUACAGUUUCUGGAUUUUCUCUUGGAACCUCUGGAAUAAGCUGGAUCCGCCAGGUCUCAGGAAAGGAACUGGAAUGGAUCGGAGACAUCUGGCAUAAUGGAGGCACUGCUUAUAGCACUAUCUUUCGAAGUCAGGCCAGCAUCACAAAAGACAAUUCUAGGAGCCAAGUGAUCUUGCAGCUCAAUGCUUUAAAGGCUGAAGACACAGCUACAUAUUAUUGCAUAAGACACAAUGACAGGAACCUUCCUUCAAGCUGGUCAAAAACCAUCGCUGUUCAAAUUUAA